ensembl:snRNA U6 U6 spliceosomal RNA
GUGCUUGCUUCAGCAGCACAUAUACUAAAAGUGAGAACAAUGAGGAAGUUAGCAUGGCCCCUGUGCAAGGAUGGCACACCAACUUGUGAAGGAUUGUUUU